CAGAGAAUAGUUUAAACAGAACUUCAGCUUUGGGUGUUGAUGGUGGGGCCGUGGCCUCUUCUUUGA
rnacentral:tRNA from 1 species